rnacentral:ncRNA from 2 species
CAUAUAUGCUGCGACGUUGGCGUUGGCCCGCCCCGCUCCAGGCGGCGGCGGGCAGCCGUAAGAGGGAAUCCGGUGCAAGUCCGGAACUGCCCCGCAGCGGUAAGCGAAAACGAACCCCGCAACCAGGCACUGGGCGACAUCCGCCCGGGAAGCCGCGGGAACUAGGAAACCGGCCCACACCGGGCCGACGCGUUCGCAAGUCCGAACACCUGCCGACGCCCGCCGGACGCA